AUUGAACGCUGGCGGCAUGCUUUACACAUGCAAGUCGAACGGUAACAGGCCGCAAGGUGCUGACGAGUGGCGAACGGGUGAGUAAUGCAUCGGAACGUGCCCAGUCGUGGGGGAUAACUACUCGAAAGAGUAGCUAAUACCGCAUACGAUCUAUGGAUGAAAGCGGGGGACCGUAAGGCCUCGCGCGAUUGGAGCGGCCGAUGUCAGAUUAGGUAGUUGGUGGGGUAAAGGCUCCCCAAGGCAACGAUCUGUAGCUGGUCUGAGAGGACGACCAGCCACACUGGGACCGGGAACCCGCCCAGACUCCCUAGGGAGGGAACAGGGGGGAAUUUUUGACAAUUGGCGCAAGCCUGAUCCAAGAAUGCCGCGUGGAGGAAGAAGGCCUUUGGGUUGUAAACUUGUUUUGUUCGGAACGAAACGGCUCUGGUUAAUACCCGGGGCUAAUGACGGUACCGUAAGAAUAAGCACCGGCUAACUACGUG
rnacentral:rRNA from 1 species